rnacentral:tRNA from 1 species
GUCCCCGUAUCCCAACCGGCAGAGGAAAUGGUCUCAAACACCAUCCAGUGUGGGUUCGAAUCCCACCGGGGACAC